ACAGUUCGGUCCCUAUCUGUUGUGGGCGCAGGAUAUUUGAGAGGAGCUGUCCCUAGUACGAGAGGACCGGGAUGGACGAACCUCUGGUGUACCAGUUGUCGUGCCAACGGCAUUGCUGGGUAGCUAAGUUCGGAAGGGAUAACCGCUGAAAGCAUCUAAGCGGGAAGCCCACCUCAAGAUAAGAUAUCCCUCUUGAUGGAGACAUCAGGACUGAAGACCCCUCGUAGACCACGAGGUUGAUAGGUCAGGUGUGCAAGCACAGUAAUGUGUUGAGCUUACUGAUACUAAUCGGUCGUGAGGCUUGACCAU
rnacentral:rRNA from 1 species